ensembl:lncRNA
UCCUGAAGAUUGAGUAGAUUUUUAAUAAAUGAGUAGAAUAAUAACAAAUAUAUAUAUAAUGCAGGCCGGCUCCAGUGGCCUAGUGGUUAACUUUGGCAUGCUCCACUUCAGCAGUCCAGGUUCAGUUCCUGGGUGCAGACCUACACCACUCGUCGGUCAGUGGCCAUGCUGUUGUAGCAGUUCACAGACAAAAAGAGGAAGAUUGGCAAUGGAUGUUAGCUCAGGGUGAAACUUCCUCAGCAAAAACAAACAAACAAACAAACAACAACAAAAAAAAUAUAUAUAUAUAAUGCGCAAUUUUAAAUGGCACUGCUACAUAUAUCAUCUUACUUCUUACGAUAAAAAAAGAGAAAGUCUCUCCAGGUAGGAAGUGCAUGGGGAGCAAAAGCAAGGCCUAGGAUGCACCAGACAUCUGUAGGAAUUAGCAAAUACUUUCCCAUGCACACAGCAAGACUUCAGUAAGCACCUACUAUGUUCUAGGUGUGAAGUAUAGGUGAUACAAGGAUCUUGAGGCACAGAUGUCUGCCUUCAAGUGUCAUGCAGCCUGGAGGAGAGGCUGACGUAGUCGGUUCAGAAGUUACAUGUCGGGUGGCAGUUGAAGAUAAAAAUGGGAGACGACACCAGGACCAUGUUAGCAGGGUCUCUAAAACUAGGCUGACGGGGCAGCACUUAAUUCAGUGACAACAGAGGAAUAUUAAAGAAUUUGGGCUAAGGAGACAUGAUCCGGGUUGAACAUAUGAUUCAUUUAGAGCAAAUGCAUAGGAUUCAUUCAAAACAAGAAGAAAUGAGGAAGAAACUGGUUAGGAGACACAUGCAAAGGCUCUAGGCAAGAGGGAAUAGGGCUCUGAAACACAGUAGCACUGAAAAGGAUUAAAGAGAAUGAAAAGAAAAAGGAAUCAACUGAAACAGACAGUGCAGGGCAUUGACUUGUUUGAAAGUAAAAGCAAAUGUUUGCUAUGGGCCGUGCUGAGUUUGGGAUGCUAGCAGGAUGUGGAGAGGAGGUGUUUAGCCCACAGCUGGUCAGUCAAGUCAAGGGUACUUAGGCGCUGGCAAGAAAGAUACAUUUCGGUACUAUCCACAAAGGAGUGGCUGCUGAGGCCGUGGGAUUGAGCCAGCGAGCUGAGGUAGUAAAUGGAGGUAUAGAAAUAGAAAACGUUCCUGGGGAAUAUUUACAUUUCUUCAGGAGAAGUAGAAAGAGCAGCAUGGGAAGAAGACAGGAGAAAUGAGAAAAGAGUUGAGGGUCGAGACGAUGCAGUGCCAGGGAACGCGGAGAAGGAGAAUGUUUAAAGGAAGGGGUGUCAACAGUCAGAUGCUGAGGAGAAGUCAGGAGGUGUGGACUGACAUGAGAUGAGCCCUUGGAUCUAGGGCUCAGGAGGUCACUGGCUGCGUUUGAAACAGAAACUUCAGUGAUGCCAAGGACAGAAAGUCAUCACUGAAGCUAGUAAAAGGCGGGCGGGCAGACAGCACAGAAGUAGACAUUAGGAAGUCUGAUGGGCGGAUCUCGAAGGAAGAUGUCAGUGAAGAGGGAAGGACUGAUGGGGAGGGGCACAAAAGAAUUGGGGUUGCAGAGAGAGGGGCUAACAUCGCAAGGAGAAGGGUGCGUGCUCCUCAGAGGCAAGCUUGAAAGAAGAAACUGUGGGAGGGGGUGGUGAAAAUACAAAGGCUCUCCGUAGACUGUCCCACCCAAGCCCAUGGGCACAAUUGCCACCUCUCCUUGGAAUGACUCAAAAUUUCUAUCUCCUGCCCUAACCUCUUCCUGGGCUCCUGAUGUCUAUACAAAACGAUCUACUAGACAACUCCACCUGGGUUGGCGCCCCAAGACUCAACCUGCCCAAAUCAAAUUCAUGACCUUUCCUCCAAACAAUGUCAUCUCCCACUGUUCCCUUCUCAAUAAAUGGUAAUUGCCAAAGUCAGAAAUUUAGGACAUACCUCAGCAUCCCUAUUGCUCUCAAACCCCCACCAUCAACAACAGGUUUUAAUUUGCCUCCCAAAAUCUGCCUUUACCCCCUUCUAAGCCCUAUGCUACAACUAGAGUGAACUUUUCAAACUCAAGUCUGAUCAGGUCCAGCUCUGCUUAGAGCCCUCCAGUGGCUUCCUCUUGGACAGGGCCAGAAUCUUUUUUCUUUUUUUAUGCUUUUUGGUGAGGAAGAUUGGCCCUGAGCUAACGUCUGUUGCCAAUCUUCCUCUUUUUUUUUCUUUCUCUCCAAAGCCCCAGUACAUAGUUGUAUAUCCUAGUUCUUCUGGUUGUAUAUCCUAGUUGUAGGUCAUUCUAGUUCUUCUGUGUGGGACGCUGCCACAGCAUGGCUUGAUGAGUGGUGUGUAGGUCCACACCCACAAUCUCAACCGGUGAGACCCAGGCCACAAAAGCAGAUGCGUGAACUUAACCACUGAGCCCCAGGAGCCAGUCCCCAGGGCCAGAAUGACAUGACUAUCCAGGCCCUGCAUGGCCUGGCCCUGACCAUCUUUCAGCUUCACUUCAUACUCUCCCCUCACCUGCAUACCCCAGCCGCCCUGCCCUCCCUUCACUUCCUCACAUCCUUCCAGUUCUCUUCCUCCUCUGUGCUCUGCACAUGCUCUUCCACCUGCCCAGUACUCCUCCCUGCCACUCUCUUCACCUGGUUGACUUCUAUUUUAGGCAGGAUGGGAGACAGGAUAGCAGAGGGAUCAGGACUCCAGUCUUCACAGUCAAACUGAGUUCUUAGCCCCACUCCUCCACUCACCAGUUGGGUCAUCCUAAACACAUUAUUUACUGUCCUUAAGCCUAAGUUUUCUCACCCGUAUGUUAACAUGAGUCCAUAUCUCACAGAUGAUUCAUAUAAAGCACUAAAAUCUAGGUCUGGCACAUAAUAACCACUUGGUAAAUGUCAGCUAGUUUUUCUUCUUCUUCUUCCCAAUGUUGGGUCCAUCGUCACUUCCUGGAGAAGCCCUCCCUGACUGGGUCACCGCCCCUCUGUCUCCUUUCUUAGAGCCCUUGUGCUCUCCUUCCCAUCACAGAUUUCAUUUUGCAUUUAUUACAGGAAUUUUAGAGUAUGUCUGUCUUCCCUACCAGACUGGAGGCUCCUUGAGGGCAGGACUUGCUCGCUGUGCUCAUGCACGUAGCCCAGUCCCCAGCACAACGUCUGCACAGAGUAGACAGUCAACCAACAUUCGCCCAACGAGUGAAUGAAUGAAUGAAUGAGCAGACAGGGCAGUCCAGCUGUGGUUGGAGUACGUAAGGGUUAGCACAUCUAGCUUGUCCUCUGUGCAACAAUGCAGUAUUUUGUCGUUUAGUCAUGCCAUCCUUGCGUUAGUGAGGGCCGGAUUAGCAGUGUGUCAUCUCAUCUAUGAAUACCAGUAAAUUGUUAUUAGCAAUAUUUAUUUUUUAGAAACCAGAUGAGUCUGGGGUAAAAUACAAACUCAUGCAGGCCUCAUUGACCAGGGACAUUUGGCAAUCCAUGGUUGCGGCUCGUGAAGGGGAUGACGACAAUGAUGAUAAUCUUGUAAUUAACAAGGAUUAUGAAUAUUAGCACAUUAAGUCCCAGAACACAUUGGGCUAGUAAGUGGAAAGUACGGAACAGAAGCUCUUGAAGGUCAUCUCAUGUGCCAAAUGAGAAACAUUGAGAGAGAGCCAUCUCCCUUGCUCCCUGUAGCCCAUCUUAAUUUUCUAUUGUAUAGAUACAUACACAGAUGUUUAACUGGACCCAUCACCGAGAUGGGACCUUCUGCAUCUCAUGACGAUAUGUCACAGUUCAUGACCAUGACCAACUGUGACAUAUGAGCUCAUGAGUCAGGCCAGAUGGUUCUGUGUCCUUUCUUCCUACCAUAUCACCUUCCCUCCAGGUUUUUUCGAGGAGGACCACUGAGUUGACUCACAUUUUAUUCUAGGGGAUGUUUUCUGAAUAAUUCUCUUGGUGUCUGCUAAUGGACAGACACUAAAUCCAUAGGAAACUCCUACACAAUCCUGGACAAAUAUGAGGUAAAGGAGAUGAAAGAUCCUUGUAACUCCCUAUAGAUCGCCUUUCCUACACAUGUAACCCCUUUGAUUAAUGCCUCCCUUUGCUUCUCAUAACAAAAUGUUCUUUCCCUUGGUGGAACAACUUGGGAGCUCCAGAGUGAAUGAGUGAACCAUAGGUUCUGUAUUGUCGCUAGAAUUUAUACUAUUAUCUAUGGGCUUCCUUUUAUUGAGUGCCUAGUAAAGGUAGCAAACCACAAGGGCCUGGGUGCAUUCCCUUUUCUGGCCCUUAAAUUGAGCAGUAGUUUCAAUGCCUUGAGGGUAAAAUCUAAGAGCUUUGGACUCUUUAUAGAACAGGAAAGGAGACUUCAAGUCUUAGCACUCGGUUUGUGACGUGCCCCUUGGUCUCCUAGGACUGUUUAUCUUAAGAGCCCUGUAUGGCCCCUGGCAGACUGUUGUCUUGGUUGAAACAGUAAAAAUAUGAUUGACCUCAGUAAGGUAAUAUUGAGAAUGGCAAUGAAAACCUUUCACUUCCAGAACUUAGUGAACCUUUUGGAAGAAGUUCAUUAUGGUGUAGCAAUUCUAUUAUAAAAGCAUAUUAGGGUUUCAAAAUGCAAAGUGGCUGGGAAAAAAGCCUUAUGUAACAUUAGAAGCAAAAAAAACUGCAAAGUCAUGUCUAUGCUAAGAUUGUAACUAUAUGAAAAUUAGAUAUAUUGACGGUAACUAGAAGGAAACAUUAAAAUAGCUUGUUUCUAGAAGGGCAAGGUUAGAGAUACUUUUCUCUCUCUCUUUUUUUUUUUUUUUUGCUUGAUUUCUGUUAUUGUAAUAGCAUUGUUUGUACAAUACAAGGUUGUCCACUAAACAUAUGUAUUUUGCUUAAAAUUGUAGUACAGACAUUAAAAAUUACACUCCACCUUAGAAAUGCAAACUGGUGCAGCCACUAUGGAAAACAGUAUGGAGAUUCCUCAAAAAAUUAAAAAUAGAACUACCAUACGACCCAGCUAUCUCACUACUGGGUAUCUACCCAAAGAGCUUGAAGUCAGCAAUUCCAAAAGUCCUAUGCAGCCCAAUGUUUAUUGCAGCAUUAUUUACAAUAGCCAAGACAUGGAAGCAACCUAAGUGCCCAUCAACAGAUGAUUGGAUAAAGAAGACAUGGCAUAUAUAUACAAUGGAAUACUACUCAGCCGUAAAACAGAACAAAAUCGUCCCAUUUGCAACAACAUGGAUGGACCUUGAGGGAAUUAUGUGAAGUGAAAUAAGCCAAUUAGAGAAGGACAAUCUCUGUAUGACUCCACUCAUAUGAGGAAUUUUAAAAUGUAGACAAGAGAACAGAUUAGUGGCUACCAGGGGAAAGGGGGGGUGGGGGGUGGGCACAAAGGGAGAAGUGGUGCACCUACAACACGACUGACAAACAAUAAUGUACUACUGAAAUUUCACAAGAUUGUAACCUAUCAUUAACUCAAUAAAAUAAUAAUAAUAAAAAAAUUACACUCCACCUUAAAAUUGAAUAUGGAAAAACAGAGCUAUUCUACCUUAUCUCUAAAAUCUAUUACUUAUUUUACAAAAUAAAACAGGGAACAACUUCUAGCAUAGUUCCUCAACUUGGCAGAAAUGAAUUUCAUUUAUCUCCUUUGGCAUCACUGACAACAGCCUCAAAAAUUUUAUUUUCUUCAAUGAGAAAUGAUAGAACAAAAUAAUUCAUAUUAAAUUUUCUUUCUGAUGAUCGAAUACACCAGAAAACCUCUCUGGAAAAACUACCAUACAUUUGAGGAAUCCUCAGUAGGGCUAGGUCAGAAAAUGCUUCAGCCUAUAUUGGCCUCGUGAUAUAGAUGCUUAAAGACAGAGCGCUGGCUGGGUGCUGACAGCCCGAGUGGAAUCGCUGAAUUACAGGUCUACAAAUUCAACUCACAAAUAGCCACACGGUUCCCCUUUUCCUUCGCCCUCUGUUUGUUCAGUGCUUCACCUUCAAGGACCUAUUGCCAACACAACAUAGGGCUAGGAAAAUCUCACACUGAAUGGGCAUUUCCUUCUGUCCAGAAAUUUCCAUUAACUUCUUAAAGUAAAGGAUUCCCAUCCUUAGGAACUGGCUGCCUUUUUCUCCGGAAGCGCCGUGAAGAUGGUAAGAGAGUCUCUUGCUAGUUUGAACUUUGCCUUAGAGCUCAGGUCCUUCCCUGUGUCUCUUCCAUGCAAUUCAAUCCAACGAAAACGUAUCCAGCUGAGUGGCUUCCCAGAGCUGUUGGGUCAACAAGCUCUACCAGGAGGCUAGGAAAACACCUUCUUGGCCCCUGAAUGCUGUGUCUCACCCAUUGGUUCAUUAGCACAGUUCGUGCUGGACUUCGAAACAGUUCAAUCAGAAAUGGGCUGGACUAUGUGUUCCUAACCUUCCUCUUCACGUAACUGGUUAUAUGUGGUAAGAGUUAUCAGCUGCAAAAAUAAAUAAGUCUAAUGCUACAAUAACAAGCAGUCUGCUGAGCAAGGGAUCAACCACCCAAUACCGGUAAAUUGAUUGCCACACUAAAGAUAAUGAAGUUCAUUCAAGGGACAUAGGGGACCACAGGACGAUUUUUGAGGAGAACAGGGAUAACAUAACCUGGAUUUUGGAUGAGAACUAAACCUAGAGGCUGGAUGAACAUAGACUGGAGAGGGUAGAGAUUGACUAGAAUCAGAGAACGAAUAGGAGGCUAUUGGAGUAGGUUAAUUGGCCUGAACCAAAGCAAUGACAAUAGGCAUGGAAAUCGGAUAGAUAGCAGAGUUUAAAUGGAUGAAAUGAUGCAAAAGAUGUGACGUAGAUUAAUGAAGAAAAGCACAGUGUACAGACAGAGUAAAGAAGACACUAAAGUUUCUAGCCUAGACUAUUGAGUUGGUGUUGAUGCCAUUAAUAUAACUGAGGAAGCAAAGGGAAAGGUUUGGGGGAGGACAGAGGGAGUUUGGUUUUAGAUAAUGACAGUUUGAAAGUGUCUGGGGGACAUCCAUGGGGAACACUCUAGCAGGCCAUUAAGAUAUGCCAGAGCUAGAAAAAAAGCAUUUAACAGUACAGAGUUUCAAAUUAAACCCUGCUUCUGCCACUUAGGUUCAGUAGCCUUGGAUAAGAUAUUUAAACUCCUGAGCCUCUAGCUUAUUUAUCUGAAAAAUGAGGGUAGCAAUUGCAUUAUAGGAUUGUUGUGAGUAUUAAAUAAGAAAUGUGUAUGGAAAGAACUCACAGUGUCUGGAACAUAGUAAGAACUCAAAAAUAUUAUCUAUUUCUGGACCGCUGCAAUCAUCUCUUUCUGUUCUCCCCCAUUUCAUCCUUUGCCUCCCUCAGUUCACCACUGCAUGGCAAUCAGAGAGAUCUUGUUAUAAAAAGAUAAGAUUCCCAUCACUCCUCUGCUUAAAAACCUCUGAAGACUCAGCAUUCCUAUUCCUCAAACAUGCCACUCUUGUUCUCGCCUCAGGGCCUUUGCACUUGCUGCUCUCUCUGCUUGGAGUGUUCUUCCCCAGAUUUCUCAAGGUUGGCUUCUUUUCAUCCUUCUCCUAUUAGCUUACAUUAUACGACCUCGUGGAAGCCUUUUGAUGAUCCUUUCUUCAUCCACCCCGGGCACUCUACAUGUUGUUACUCUGCUUUUAUUUUGUCCAUAGGAAAUUAGCAUUUGAAAUGAAGACUUCAUGUACAUGAUUACAUUUUUUUGCCUGUUGUACCUCUUGAAUUAGAACGUCAGUUUCUUGACAGCAUGUCUGUCUUAUUCCCCACUAUAUCCCCAGUGCCUGGCACACAGUAGGAUCCCCACAAAGAAUUAUUGAAUGAAUGAAUAUACAUGGACAUAUAUGGAUCCUUGAACAUAAAGUGUGCAUUUCUUCCCUGGUGAGAUGGAACAGUCUGACUCAGGAGCAUAACAUUAUGAUGCUGAGUUGCCCUAACCUGGAUGUUUCACUGAGAAAACAUUUAUUGAGCAUCUACUUGAUGCCCAGCAUUGUGCUAGGUGCUGGGGAUGCAAGAACAAUCGUGGUGGACUGCUCCCUGUCCUCAUGCAAUCAACAGGUUUGUAAAUAGUCAACUACAGCGUGGCGAAAUCAGUGCUACAAUGGGGAGAAUUUAGAGUUGCGCUGAGAACAUCUGGAAGGGACAUCAAACAUGUUAUGGAAGGCUUCUUGGAGUUAUGGAAGGCUUCUUGGAGGAAGUGAUGCUUAAGCUAUAUCCCAAGAAUGUCAUCUAAACGUUGGGGAGGAUGGAGCAAAGAAAAUCCUAUGCAGAAGGAACACUAUUCACAGAUGCUCAAAGAAUUAGUGAGCAAGGCAUUUUCAAGAAAACAGGUUUGAGCAAGAUACAUUAGGCUGGUAAGAGGAAUCCUUGUAAGUCCUUGUUAAAGAGUUUGUGCUUUAAUCUAAGAGCCGUCGGAAACACGGUAAGAUUUUAAGCCAAAGAGUGGCACGGUUGUAUUUGCAUUUUAGAAUGAUCACUCUGGCUGCCAUGGGAAGAAUAAAUUAGGCAAAGAAAUCACUAUGAGUCUAUGAAGCAAGGUACUAUCCCACAAGGACGUGGAGAAGUGGACAUAUCCUAGAGCUAUUUAGAAGGAACAAUGACAGGACUUGGCAAUUAACAGAAAAGUAGAGCGAGGGAGAGGGAGGGGAGGAAGAUGAAUGCUGGGUUAAAUGGUGGUGCCGCUCACUGAGACAGGAAGCACAGAGGAGGAACAACUUUUAGAUGUUCUGUAUAGGAUGAGCCAAGUUCGAAAUGCCUGCAGAGCUCUUCGGUGGAAAUAUUCAGCAAUAAGUUGAUUAAUCAGGCCUGAAUCAUCAUCUUCUCAGCUGUCUUCCUCUAGUACUUACUGACUGCCGCUGUGAUCCAGCCACACAGGACUUCUUUUCCUCAAAUACACCAAGCUCACCUCUGCAUCUUGCCAUUUGCACCUGCUGUUCUCUACCCAGGAUCCUCUUCCCUCAAAUGGCCAAAUGCCUGGCUCCUUGUAGUUCAGAUGCCAACUCAGACAUUACCUCCACAGGGGUUCUUCCCUGACCAUCCCACCUAACCUCUUCCCAAAGUCACUGUCCAUCACCCUAUAUAGCAUCUUCACUUAGCAGUGUAAAAAAUUAACUUAUUUUUUAAUUCAUUUACUUUUUCCUUGUUUGUCACCCACACUCUAGAACUGUAUUAUCCAAUAC